rnacentral:tRNA from 1 species
GGCCGAGUGGCGGAAUGGCAGACGCACGGGACUUAAAAUCCCGAGGAGGGGAACCUCCGUGGGGGUUCGAGUCCCCCCUCGGCUA